rnacentral:ribozyme from 1 species
UGCCCAGCAACUCCUAUCCCUACCUCCACGCGGUACCGGUCGGAAACUAUGAGCAACCUUAGGGAAGAUCGGGUAGCCAACCCCGGUGGGAACUCGGUGGGAAGGGUCGUAGGCUGACAGGGAAGG